rnacentral:rRNA from 1 species
UGGGGAAUCUUAGACAAUGGGGGAAACCCUGAUCUAGCCAUGCCGCGUGAGCGAUGAAGGCCUUAGGGUUGUAAAGCUCUUUCAGCUGGGAAGAUAAUGACGGUACCAGCAGAAGAAGCCCCGGCUAACUCCGUGCCAGCAGCCGCGGUAAUACGGAGGGGGCUAGCGUUGUUCGGAAUUACUGGGCGUAAAGCGCACGUAGGCGGAUUAUUAAGUCGGGGGUGAAAUCCCGGGGCUCAACCCCGGAACUGCCUUCGAUACUGGUAGUCUUGAGGUCGAGAGAGGUGAGUGGAAUUCCGGGUGUAGAGGUGAAAUUCGUAGAGAUUCGGAGGAACACCAGUGGCGAAGGCGGCUCACUGGCUCGAUACUGACGCUGAGGUGCGAAAGCGUGGGGAGCAAACAGG